UACGGGGGGGGCAAGCGUUGUUCGGAAUUACUGGGCGUAAAGGGCUCGUAGGCGGCCAACUAAGUCAGACGUGAAAUCCCUCGGCUUAACCGGGGAACUGCAUCUGAUACUGGAUGGCUUGAGUUCGGGAGAGGGAUGCGGAAUUCCAGGUGUAGCGGUGAAAUGCGUAGAUAUCUGGAGGAACACCGGUGGCGAAGGCGGCAUCCUGGACCGACACUGACGCUGAGGAGCGAAAGCCAGGGGAGCAAUCCGG
rnacentral:rRNA from 1 species